rnacentral:rRNA from 1 species
UACGAAGGGGGCUAGCGUUGCUCGGAAUUACUGGGCGUAAAGGGCGCGUAGGCGGACAGUUUAGUCAGAGGUGAAAGCCCCGGGCUCAACCUGGGAAUUGCAUUUGAGACUGCGUAGCUAGGGUGCGGAAGAGGGAAGCGGAAUUUCCGGUGUAGCGGUGAAAUGCGUAGAUAUCGGAAGGAACACCAGUGGCGAAAGCGGCUUCCUGGUCCAGCACCGACAUUCAGGCACGAAAGCGUGGGGAGCAAACAGG